rnacentral:rRNA from 1 species
ACGGAAGGAGCUAGUGUUAUUAUGUUGACUGGGCGUAGGGUAUGUAGGUCGUGAGAAAUGAGAAAUAAAUACUAGGUUAUCACUUUUUAUCGUUUUCUUACUAUUUCAUAGAAUCUUAGAAAGAUAAUGGUAUCUUUUGGUUAGUGCUUAAAUACGUAGAUAAAAGAGACUGACAGGGGCUAAAGAAUUAUCUUUUCGAGUAUUGACGUAAGGUACUAAGGCAGGGGAGCAAAAGGAUUAGAAACCCGUGUAGU